GCACUGGUCAAAAAGCGUCUGCUAAUAUUUCACGGCUAUUCAUCAGCCGCUCCUGUUCGAUCUGUCAUUCCUCUGAAUUCGGCACACAGCCCAGUCACAAAUCUAAAUAGAUUUCAGAGAAGAACACUCUGAUUGUCGAGUCUAGUCUCAUUUGAAUAUUAGCAUAGUUCCAUAUCAUUCAGCAUAGAUUACUAACCGAUUAAAGUUGUUUUUGCCAAAAAGAAACUUUAAUGUAUCACUGGAAAAUGCUCGCCAGACUUGCUGGUGAAUUGGCCUCGCGCCAAACUUGGAUAAAUUCAAAAACCCCAAGCAAAGAAAAUAAAAUCGAAAGUGGGUUUAAUUUUGUGUACCAACUGCAUACGUAGGUUUCAAUGCCGUACGACGAAAAGCAUACGAGGGAAUCUACCCACUGAAAUCGUUUAAAGUGAGAUCACGGCCCAUUUGCAUACUUCCAUGAUGAUGGCCGUGUGUGUUACAGGUGCUACCUUUACAUGGAUUUGUACGCAGAGUGAAAGUUGCGUCCGCCGGAUCCCCAAAGUGCGGAAUCACAAGAUGUAGGAAACCACUUUAAAUAAGGCGCGCUAUUUCCCCUCUUCAAGUCAAACGAUCAAUAACGGAUGACUCAAGAGCCGCCGAUUCGUGACCGCACCUACUCUUAGAUGGAAGCCACAGUUGAACAUUUGAAAGAUAAUUUACCAAACCGGGACUGACGGUUAAAUCAUUUAACUUGUAUUAUACUUUUUAAAGCUUUUUUGCAUUAAGAUUGGCGCUUCUAUAUAGAAGCAGAAAACUUGGCAGAUGCAAUCGCGUCUGUGUUAGACGCUCGUCAAAAGUAAAGAGAAAAGACAAUGAUGAGACAUUUGCGUGUUGUUUUGUACACACGAUCCUUCUGUAUAGUCAGACGAGCAUUAAAAACUUUCUAGGUAUCCAUUGCUGCUGCAGUUCAAGAUUUUCGUGGAAGAUAUGGAAGGUAAAAGAGGCAAGUGUCAUGGCGGAUAUACGGUGAUGUUAUCCGUUGAUGGAAUGCACCUCUAAGUCUAUCGAUUAUUAGACGUCUUCACAACUGAUGGUGAAAUUUUGGGAAGAUUGGAAUUCCUGAAACGAAAUUUCGUUGGACUUUUACGGCUUUUUUUUAAUUGAUUGAUAAAAUUUCUUGCAAGAUUUUUAAGUGUAAUUAACGCCGAUUUAGCCUUUUGUGGGUUUAGAUUUCUCAAGAAUUUAAAUUAAAAUUUAAAAUUGUGUGUUGCAUUCGAUUUUAUCGUUUCACUACACGAAAAGAAAAUUAAAUAUUCAAAAAUAAAAAUAUUAAUAUUAAUUUUUUAACUGCCCACUAGUCGAAAACUUUUCGUCUGCCAAAUUUCCAUAGAUGGCGCGUAGGUAUUAAAUCGUUCUGGCAACGUUGUUUUAUUUGGAGGAUAGGGAUCACUGGAUCGCAAAUCCAAAUCAUUUGCUGAGCAAAGCCGUUUGGUCGAAAAAUAAAUCGUAAAAUAUCUUUGAAACCCUUCAUUUUAUAGUGAUGCAUCCACAUAAAAUAAAGAAGCGUUGAUCUAGUCGUUAGCAAACUGGAUUCUUUAAUUUUUGUUAUUGAUUGUGGAUGAGUGAUAUCUUGCAUUGGAAAAUCGUGACCUGUUCUCACAUGUUUGGAGGAAGAAAAUUCCAGCAAGCUGUUGUUCGUGAAAGCUGUUUUCACGGGUGGAGAGCGGAGGAUUGAACGCAAGUGACUCUACGAAUUGUGAAUCGACAAAAGAAAAAAAAAAAAAGGAAAAGGCCCAGCAGCUGUUUUGAUUAUACGGAGCCUCGUCUUAACGUACAGCACGAGGCGAAAUAUACCUCAUGAACCCUCCCACACGCUCUUCAGGGUGGAGGAGGAGGGAACUCGGUGCAUGCCCGGAGCGUGCACAAAAAUUUGCGUGUUCAAAACACAGCAAAUUCAGCGGGUGGAGGGGGGAAAAAGCAGGUCGCCGCUAGAUGGCAUUACAUGGCAUCCCCUCUAUGCGUUUCUUGCGCAAAAAUGUAAUUUUAGAAAAAUACAAAAUCAUCGCAGCCUUCAAGUAUCGUGCAUUGACGUUUAAUGGCUCAAUUGGGUGUGCAAAACACCUUAAUAUGAUGUCCGCACGCGUCGUGCUUGAUGGAUAUUUAGCGGACUUUUGGAAUUAUAACAGGAUACGACCCCAGCGGGUGGCUAGAAGAAAAGAAUUGUUCAUCCACCGGACGAUCCACUUUUCUAAAGCAACAGUGGCCGCGCACGCGUGAAAAUAAACAUUU